UUGGGCUGGGAAAUGGUUGCUGUGUAGCUGGGCCUGCUGUGGUCCUGCCUUGUACCAGCUAGCCUGUCUUUGCCCUAGAUGAAAACCUGGCACCCUCCUUUCUAGGGUCUGCCCUGCGCAGUAACAGGUGUGAUGGUCAUGUAUGAUACUGCAUACAUAC